UACGUAGGGUGCGAGCGUUAAUCGGAAUUACUGGGCGUAAAGUGUGCGCAGGCGGCCGCGCAAGUCGAGUGUGAAAGCCCCGGGCUUAACUUGGGAAUUGCGCUCGAAACUACGUGGCUGGAGUGUGGCAGAGGAAGGUGGAAUUCCAGGUGUAGCGGUGAAAUGCGUAGAGAUCUGGAAGGAACACCGAUGGCGAAGGCAGCCUUCUG
rnacentral:rRNA from 1 species